CUAUGUAUGAGGGGCGGGAUCUUUUUUAGUGGCUCAAAAUAUUUAUUGCUUUGAGUUUUUUAAUUUUAUACUUCAUUUUGCUUUAUUCAAUUCAUCAUGUGGAAUUGCAGUCUGACUUGCUGCUGUUUUAGCUUGUACUAUAUUUCUGUAUCAAUGUAUCUUCAAGUAUUGCAUUAAAAUAUAUCCACUGUCAUAUCAUCAUUUCU